AUGUCGUCCACCGCGGCUUUUUGCCUUCUCUCUACUCUGGGAGGGUAUUUGGUCACCUCGUUCUUGUUACUUAAAUACCCAGCGUUGCUCCACCAGAGAAAGAAACAGCGAUUCCUCAGUAGGCACAUCUCUCACCGCGGAGGUGCUGGAGAAAACCUGGAGAACACAAUGGCUGCCUUCCAGCACGCAGUUACCAUUGGGACGGACAUGUUAGAACUGGACUGCCAUAUCACAAAAGAUGAGCAGGUUGUAGUGUCACAUGAUGCAAAUCUGAAGAGGUCAACUGGGGUCAAUGUAAACGUCUCUGAUCUCAAAUACUGUGAGCUCCCACCUUACCUUUGCAAACUGGAUGUCCCAUUUCAGAGAGGGAGCUCCGGCACUAGAACCAUCACUGCAUGCAAGUGUGAAGGAACAGAUACCCGGAUUCCCUUGCUGAAGGAAGUGUUUGAGGCCUUUCCUGAGACCCCCAUUAACAUCGACAUCAAAGUGAACAACAACGUGCUGAUUCAGAAGGUCUCAGAACUGGUGAAGCAGUACAAGCGCGAACACCUGACAGUGUGGGGCAAUGCCAGCUCUGAGAUUGUAGACAAGUGUUACAAAGAGAACUCAGAUAUCCCUAUCCUCUUCAGCCUGCAGCGUGUUCUGCUCAUCCUUGGCCUUUUCUUCACUGGCCUCUUGCCCUUUGUGCCCAUUCGAGAGCAGUUCUUUGAGAUCCCAAUGCCCUCCAUCAUACUGAAGCUAAAAGAACCGCACAUUAUAUCCAAAGGUCAUAAGUUUCUCAUCUGGCUUUCGGACACCUUAUUAAUGCGGAAAGCUUUAUUUGACCACCUCACCGCCCGGGGCAUUCAAGUAUACAUUUGGGUUUUAAAUGAAGAGCAUGAGUACAAAAGAGCUUUUGAUUUGGGGGCCACGGGAGUGAUGACGGACUAUCCAACGAAGCUUAAGGAGUUCUUAAAUAACAUGUCAGCAUGAAGCACUCCAGAUCAUUGAGAGGAGUCAUGAUCAGAAAAGAUCUGAGGAAAGAAUCAGCAGUCUUUGAAAAGUGCUUCAAAACAGGCUGGAGAGAGAUGGCCCAGUGGCUAAGUAGACUGCACUUGAUGCUCUUUCUGAGGACCUGAGUUUGGUUUGCAGCACCGAUACAGGGCAGCUCACAACUGCCUGCAACUCUAGGAAAUCCGACGCCCUCUUCUGGGCUCCACAGGUAACUGCACUCACAUGUGCACAUGCCUAUGCAUACACACAUAAUUGAAAUUAAAUCUUUUAGAAAGAUCUUUCAGGGCUGGAGAGAUGGCUCAGUGGUUAAGAGCACUGACUGCUCUUCCAGAGGUCCUGAGUUCGAUUCCCAGCAACCACAUGGUAGCUCACAACCAUCUGUAAUGAGAUCUGAUGCCCUCUUCUGGUGUGUCUGAAGGCAGCUACAGUGGACUUAUAUAUAAUAAAUAAAUGUUUAAAAAAAUCUUUCAAGGGUUGGGGAUUUAGUUCAGUGGCCCUGGGUUCGGUCCUCAGCUCCAAAAAAAAAAAAAAUCUUUCAAGUAGAAAUGAGUUUUAAUCUAAGGGGAGGAGUUGGGGAGAUUGAACAAAGCUAUAAAUUCAGUCCCACUCUUUUUUCUUUUCUUUUUUCGGAGCUGAGAACCGAACCCAGGGCUUUGUGCUUACUAGGCAAGUGCUCUACCACUGAGCUAAAUCCCCAACCCCUCCAGUCCCACUCUUAACGGCCCAAGUCUGCUUGACAUUGGCUACCCCAGGAAGCCAGUGUAACCCACCACUAAGUAACAGCAUACUCACCCUUCCUCAUGGUCAGAGAAGAGGCUUAGAUACCAGUGAGUUUUAUGGGGUUUUGUUUGUUUUGAGGCAAGGUUCUACCAUGCAUCUUAGGCUAACCUCAGAUUCAUGAUCUUCCUGCCUCUGCCUCCUCAGUGCUUGGAUUAUUAACAUUUGCUAGCAUGGCAGGCAGCCACAGGCUCUAAUCCUUCGAUGAAGCAGAACUAUCAAAGGUGGCUACUUCAGCCUUCCGAGAGUAGAGAGCAAGAACAAAACUCAAGAAAAUGUGAGGACCAUUGAGAUGGCUCAGUGGGGUUGCACAAACUGACAGCUGAUGUUUGAUCCCUGGAGCCCACACAAAGGUGGAAGGACAGCAGUGACUCCACGAGGUUGUCCUCCAAUUUCCAUGCACAUCUGUGGCAUGUACACCUCCCUGACACGCACACAUGCGCGUAUCUGAGUCAAGCAUGCCAGAGAAUUCUCUAAGUAAAACCUCUGUGUUAUACACACUCAGUUUUUAAUCUCGAGCUCUUGGUUAAGGAGGGCAUUCAUUCCGUGAAUGCCCUAGGCAAUUCCAGAUGGUUGGUCCUUGCAUGAAAGACUGGUGAGUGGGGAUUCCCACUUGCAUUUCCUGUCAGAGCCACUUCUGAGCAUCUUCAAGCAUUGCAGGCAGCUUCGAGUUUUCUGGAUGGUUUUAGCUUUCCUGACCUAGAUUCUUGACCUCUUUGACACGUCUUAAUCCUCGGCUUCUAACAUGGCUUUGUUCUAGAACUGAAGCAGUUCUCUGGAUGGAUUUGUGAAUCAUACAGGACUAUUGGAGUCAAUCUGUAAAGAAGUUAUUAUUGUAAAGUAAAAUGGCCUUCGUCCAGUUUAAAUGAUGUAUGUGUGUGUAUAUGUGUGUGCACGUGUGUUCACAUGUGCACACGCGCGUGUGUAUGUGUGUGUGUGUCCAUGUGUGUGUAGAGGUCAGAAGGUGACCUCAUGUGCCUUGCAUCUUGUUUGAGACCAAGUCUGUUGCUCACCACGACAUAUCACAGACUACUUGGGGAUGAACUUGGGGGAUUCUCUCUGUCUCUGGGUCCGUCUCACUCAUGAAGCGCUGGGAUUCUCAUCAGGAGCUACCACCCUGAAAAGACAAGACACAGCUGGAGGGAUGGCUUCGUCACAGACGGCUCAAGUUGCUCUCAUGGAGGAGGAUCUAGGUUCUGUUCCUGGCACCACAUGGGCCCUCAGUCACCUGCAAUCACAGCAAGCCAAAUAAAUGCUCAUGUCUAAAAGAUAAAACAAUUUUUUUUUCUUUUUCUUUUUUUUCGGAGCUGAGGACCGAACCCAGGGCCUUGCACUUGCUAGGCAAGUGCUCUAUCACUGAGCUAAAUCCCCAACCCCCAAGAUAAAACAAUCUUAAAACAUUAAUUAAGGUCUUAGCUAGCCAGGCUCUUGCUAAUUUGCACAGGUUGGCCUCAAACUUAAGAGCCCUUUGCCUCAGACAUCCAAGUGGCUUGAUUUACAGGCUUACACCACCAGGCUCAGGGACUCAAAUCAUUCAUUUCCUUCAGUGCCACCGUCUUGACAUCAGCGCAAACCAUUUCCCUCCUGUAUCACUGCAGAACCUCUCACAGAUUCUUUCCUUCUUCAGUCUGUGCUUAAAGCAGCUGCCCGAGAAGUCCAGCUGAAGAUAUGUCAGGGGCUAGAGAGGCGGCUCAGUCAACAGUUCUUGUCUCAUCUUGCAGAGGCUUUAGGAUUUAGUCUUUUCCCAGCACUCACCUGGCAGCUCACAACUUCUGCAUGCAUCGGGUGCUAGUGUGGGAGCAGUGUGCUCAUAGCACAGGCAAAACACUCACACUCAAGAUAAAUAUAAUGUAUAUUUAUAUUAUGUACUAUUAAUAUUUUUUAAUCUAAAACCAAAGCCAGAUGUGGUGGUCCAUACCUUUAAUCCCAGCACAUGGGAGGCAGAGGCAGAAGAUUCUCUGAGUUCAAGGCUAGCCUGGUCUAAAAGGUGGAUUCCAGGACAACCAGAGAAACCCCUCUGGAAAAAACAAAAAUGAGGGCUGGAGAGGUGGUUCUGUGGUUAAGAGCACUGGCUGUUCUUCCAAAGGACCCACAUGGCUGCUCAUGACUCUGUAACGCCAGUUCCAGGGGAUCUGACACCUUUAUACAGACAUAUAUGUAGGCAAAACACCAAUGCACAUAAAAAAAUAAAAUAAAAAGGUAUCAUAAAAAAUGUAACCAACUUAAAAAAGAAAAACCAAAACUGAAAAAAACAACAAACAGACAAACCAACAAAUCCAAAACCAGGCUUGGUGAGAUGGCUCAGUGGGUAAAAGUGUGUCUGAGUUUUAUCCCCAGAACCCACUUGAUAGAUUCUCUUUUGACUUCCUCCGAGUGUGCUGUGUCACACCCUUGCAAAUACUCAUACAAACAAGCAACAACAGAGUUAAAGAAAAACAAAAAAGAAUAAUCGCGGGGCUGGAGAGAGAGCUCAGCAGUUAAGAACACUUGUUGCUGGCUUAGAGAACCACGCUUGGUUCCCAGCACCUUCGUGACAGCUUGCAAGCAUCUGUACUUCCAGUUCCACGGCAUCGAGCGCUCUCUUCUGGCCUCUGUAGGUAUUGCAUGCUCUUGGCGCACAUGGAGGCAAACAAUCAAACACAUAAAAAUAAGUAAAUCUUAAACAAACGAGGUGCACACCUUUAAUGUCUCCGUACUUUAGAUGCAGAGGCCAGUGUUUCUCGGUCAAAAGGAGAAGAAAGGAAGGGAGGAAGGGAGGGUCAUCUUGACCUGAUGGUGUAUGUAAUCCCAGCCUGGGGACAAAAGCAGGAGGACUGUGAGUUCCAGACCAGUCUGGGUUAUGUAAUGAGACCCGUCUCACAAAGACAAGAUGAAGGAAGCCACACAGACACAAAAGAGAAAUCAAAACUGAACCAUAGCGACAAAGACAUACCAUGUCUCCAUAGCAACAAAGACAUGUCUCUCCUUUCUGCUUCAAACCCUCCCUGCAGGUGACUGAUCACAGCCUUUAACUCCAGCUUCAGGGGCUCCAAUGCCUUCCUCUGGCCCCUCUGGAUACCUCCACACGGGACACACAAAAACCAAAAUCUUCAGAGGUAGAUAAUGCUCUCAGAAGCAACAGGUUAUUAGAGGAAAACGCCAUCUGCAGGUGUUUUCCAUAGAGGCCCCCAGAAGCCUAAUAUGUUACCGCCAUUGCUGCGGGACUGGAUCUAGGGCCUCUGUGCUGGGCACCUGCUCCCUCUGAGCUGUUCCCAGCUCUCUCUGCAUAAACGUGAUCUCAAGAUCCUCUCAGACUGCAGCUUUGCACUUGUGGGACUAUAUCUUUCAUCUGUGAAAGUAGCACAAGCUAAUAAAAACUUAAUCUUAAUAAUUAGGUGAACAUUAAAAUGUUUUAUGAGGUUGCUGUAAAAAAAAUGUGGCCAAGUUUUGCAUAGCUUGUGGCAUAAUCUUUCAGAAGAGUAAUAUCCAAGGUCUAAGGAAAACAAGAGGGGGGGCUGGGGAUUUAGCUCAGUGGUAGAGCGCUUGCCUAGGAAGCACAAGGCCCUGGGUUCGGUCCCCAGCUCCGAAAAAAAAAAAAAAAAGACCAAAAAAAAAAAAAAAAAAGGAAAACAAGAGGGGGGCUGGGGAUUUAGCUCAGUGGUAGAGCGCUUACCUAGGAAGCGCAAGGCCCUGGGUUCGGUCCCCAGCUCCGAAAAAAAGAACCAAAAAAAAAAAAAUAAUAAUAAUAAUAAAAUAAAAUAAAUAAAUAAAACAACAAUAAUCACAUGGUGGCUCACAGCCAUCUUUCAUGGGAUCUAACGCCCUCUUCUGGUGUGUUUGAAGACAGUGACAGUUACUCUAUACAAAAUUAAAAAUAAAACAAAA